CGUAGCAUCUCCCGAAACGCGUCGGAAGAACUAAUUAAAAAUAUGUAUUCGCCCUCAAUCCAGUAGAUGCAGUAGAAAGCAGUAUAUCUGACUGUCCUCACCAAAACCAAUAUUAGUUUGCGGGCACGUUCUCCUCCACAUCAAUCAGGAGGCUAACCUAAAACCGGUGUGUCCCGCUGAUUGAUAUCACAGCAGAACGUGCCAAAACAAAAACAAAAAAGGAGAAAAACCAAAAGAAAACAAUGAAUGUCAGUGGGUGUAAUUCCUAGUCGUAACACUUUUUACACAUCAUCUUGAAGUUUUUGGUUGAUAACACCAGUUCCAGUGUGUGAACAAUCUAGGAAAACUGCAAUAACGUGUUAUAACUGGCAAUGCUUAUCAUCUUCGCAGCCACUUUUGGGAAACGGCAGAGCCCUUAGCGGUCUGCAGUCCCAGCGCACACACCGCGCACCUCACAAAGGAGCCCUGCCUUUAUUAAACCAGUCCUGCUGUCUUGCCGGGCAAUUAGUCCAGACAAGUGCGCUGAAUUAGGCUACGUGGGCAUAGCAGGUAAGCUACGUGGGCGUGGCGGAUAAACUCGAUUCAUCACAGUGUGCAUCUAUGUUUUCAUGUGUGUGCAUUCAUGUCCAUGUGCGUGUGUCCGUGUGUGUGGGUGCGUGUGUGUUUGUGUGUUUGUGUGUGCCCGUGUGUGUGCAUUUCUGUUCAUGUGCACGUGUACGUGAGUGUGUGUGCAUUGUGUGUGUGUUCUACAGGUUUCACAUUAAUUUUAUGGUGAGCAGCAGUGAAGACAUCGCCUUGCAUUUGAACCCGCGGAUGUGUGGGACAGUGGUGCUUAACACCCAUCUGGGAGGGAGUUUUGGGAUGGAGGAAAGAGAUGACUUUGAGAGGGACAUAUUUUGAGGCAGAUGCAGACAUGUUUGCAGAAGGAACAGGGCUUGGAAACCUGCCGAUGAUGAGCACAGAACCACUACAAACUACAAACCACCCGUUCCCUACUCUGACAUGAUCAGAGGAAGGAUGACUCCAAAGAAGACCUUCAUUUUCAGGGGCAGAGCGGCACCGGAAGCCAGCAGGUUUCACAUUAAUUUUAUGGUGAGCAGCAGUGAAGACAUCGCCUUGCAUUUGAACCCGCGGAUGUGUGGGACAGUGGUGCUUAACACCCAUCUGGGAGGGAGUUUUGGGAUGGAGGAAAGAGAUGACUUUGAGAGGGACAUAUUUUGAGGUAAGACAACUAGGGUCAUUCAUGAGUCUAUAUGUCUAAUCCAAAGUAUCUCUGUAAUUAUC